ACUUAAAUAGCUUAUAGUGAGAGUUUAAUAUUGAAGAUAUUAAGGAGAUUAAUUAAUCUUUAGGUA
rnacentral:tRNA from 1 species